CCCGAAUAGUGUCUGCAGAAGUGUAUUGAUCCCCUCGACAAAUAGCAGAGUCUGCACCACCCUCACUUUAUCACCAUGAUCACCACCCAUCAAAGGAACAAGAAAUGAAGGGAUCAUAACAGCAGUUCCUAAUGCCAAAAUGUAAUGCUGGAAACCAAGAGCUAUAGCUUCUCCCCAAGAUGGGUUGGAGUCAAUACAGUACUCUAAACCUUGAAGUUGGUCCAUUGGUGGGUGACUUAUCUCUUCUGGUUUUGGAGCUGCCAUCGCCUCUACCUAUUAC
rnacentral:misc_RNA from 1 species